rnacentral:rRNA from 1 species
UGGGGAAUAUUGGACAAUGGGCGAAAGCCUGAUCCAGCCAUGCCGCGUGUGUGAAGAAGGUCUUCGGAUUGUAAAGCACUUUAAGUUGGGAGGAAGGGCAUUAACCUAAUACGUUAGUGUUUUGACGUUACCGACAGAAUAAGCACCGGCUAACUCUGUGCCAGCAGCCGCGGUAAUACAGAGGGUGCAAGCGUUAAUCGGAAUUACUGGGCGUAAAGCGCGCGUAGGUGGUUUGUUAAGUUGGAUGUGAAGGCCCCGGGCUCAACCUGGGAACUGCAUCCAAAACUGGCAAGCUAGAGUACGGUAGAGGGUGGUGGAAUUUCCUGUGUAGCGGUGAAAUGCGUAGAUAUAGGAAGGAACACCAGUGGCGAAGGCGACCACCUGGACUGAUACUGACACUGAGGUGCGAAAGCGUGGGGAGCAAACA